rnacentral:rRNA from 1 species
GAUUCCUGGCUCAGGAUGAACGCUGGCGGCGUGCUUAACACAUGCAAGUCGAACGAUGACCCCGUGCUUGCACGGGUGAUUAGUGGCGAACGGGUGAGUAACACGUGAGUAACCUGCCCCUGACUCUGGGAUAAGCCCGGGAAACUGGGUCUAAUACUGGAUAUGACCUUUAACCGCAUGGUUUUUGGUGGAAAGAUUUAUCGGUUGGGGAUGGACUCGCGGCCUAUCAGCUUGUUGGUGAGGUAAUGGCUCACCAAGGCGACGACGGGUAGCCGGCCUGAGAGGGUGACCGGCCACACUGGGACUGAGACACGGCCCAGACUCCUACGGGAGGCAGCAGUGGGGAAUAUUGCACAAUGGGCGAAAGCCUGAUGCAGCGACGCCGCGUGAGGGAUGACGGCCUUCGGGUUGUAAACCUCUUUCAGUAGGGAAGAAGCGAAAGUGACGGUACCUGCAGAAGAAGCGCCGGCUAACUACGUGCCAGCAGCCGCGGUAAUACGUAGGGCGCAAGCGUUAUCCGGAUUUAUUGGGCGUAAAGAGCUCGUAGGCGGUUUGUCGCGUCUGCCGUGAAAGUCCGAGGCUCAACCUCGGAUCUGCGGUGGGUACGGGCAGACUAGAGUGAUGUAGGGGAGACUGGAAUUCCUGGUGUAGCGGUGAAAUGCGCAGAUAUCAGGAGGAACACCGAUGGCGAAGGCAGGUCUCUGGGCAUCUACUGACGCUGAGGAGCGAAAGCAUGGGGAGCGAACAGGAUUAGAUACCCUGGUAGUCCAUGCCGUAAACGUUGGGCACUAGGUGUGGGGAACAUUCCACGUUUUCCGCGCCGUAGCUAACGCAUUAAGUGCCCCGCCUGGGAG